ensembl:lncRNA
CUGAUGUAAAGCAAACUGAUGUAAAGCAAACUGGUGUAAAACAUAGUGAUACAAACAGUGAUGAUAACAACGAUAGCAGUAGUAACAACUUCAGUUGUGAUAUGUACAACGACAAUUACAUUGAAAGUAGUAAUAAAAAAGGUAAUAAAAAAAAAAAGAGAGAAAAAAAAAAAAAAAAAUCAUUUUUAAAAACACAUGAGAAAAAUUUUAUGUGGAAUUAUCAUUUAAUAAAAAAAAUAAAAAAUAAAUGUAAAAUAGAUGACAAUUGGUUUUGUUCGAUAAUACAAGGUUAUAUAGGAUAUACAUCCAUAGAAAUAAAUAAAAAAAAUUUAGAACUUCUUUUGAUUAGUCGUAGAUCAGCUAUACUUGGAGGAACACGAUUUAAUAAAAGAGGUAUCAACGAUGAUGGAUAUGUAGCUAAUUAUGUAGAAACAGAACAAAUUAUAAGAAUAAAUAAUAAUAUUAAUAAAAAAAAUAAUAUGAAAAAAGUAGAUAAAGUACCAACAGAUAUGUUUAGUAGUAUAAAAAAUAUAACACCUGAUUAUAUUUUAAAUAAAAAUAUUACACAAGUUUUUUCAAAUAAUAAUGAUAAUAUAACUACAUUAGGGUUAUAUAAAAAUAAUGAAUCAAUAGAAGAUAAAAAUAAUAAUCUAUUUAAUGAAUUAAACAGGAUAGAUUUAAGUAGUCAUACUUCAAAUAAUAAUAUUAAUAACCUAUGUAAUAAAGAUAAUAUAAAAAACUUUGAAGAUCGUAUAAUUUCUCUUGUUCAAAUAAGAGGAUCUGUUCCUUUAUUUUGGAAUCAAAAUUCUAUGUCUUCUCAUGUAAAUAUUCAACGUUCUUCCUUAUUAAGUAUAAAAGCAUUUAAAGAACAUAAUAAAAAAUUGUUUAAUAAUUAUGGCAAUAAUAUUUAUUAUAUUAAUUUAUUAAGUCAAACAAAAAGUAAUGAAAAAAAAUUAACAAAAAAAUUGAUUGAUAUAAUUAAUUAUACAAAAAGAGAUAAAUAUUAUAAUAAAAAAGAUUGUAUACAUUACAUAGAGCAUGAUUUUCAUAUUUCUGUUAAAAAUAAAAGUUUUGAAGAAGCUAUGAAUGAAUUUAUAAAUAAAACUUUAUUAAAUGAAAUUAAAAAUGUUUCUUUUUUUAUGGAACCAUAUUUUGGUUUAAAUGAGGAAAGUAUUAUAAGUAAUGAUAAAAAGUUUGAUAAUAAUUAUAUUAAUAAAAAUAAUAAAAAUGAUAAAAAUGAUAAAAAUGAUAAAAAUGAUAAAAAUGAUAAAAAUGAUAAAAAUGAUAAAAAUGAUAAAAAUGAUAAAA